rnacentral:rRNA from 1 species
ACGUAGGGUGCGAGCGUUAAUCGGAAUUACUGGGCGUAAAGGGUGCGCAGGCGGUUUUGUAAGUCAGAUGUGAAAUCCCCGGGCUUAACCUGGGAAUUGCGUUUGAAACUAUAAGACUAGAGUGCAAGAGAGGGGAGUGGAAUUCCAUGUGUAGCAGUGAAAUGCGUAGAGAUGUGGAAGAACACCGAUGGCGAAGGCAGCUCCCUGGAUUGACACUGACGCUCAUGCACGAAAGCGUGGGGAGCAAACAG